rnacentral:lncRNA from 1 species
AAAGAAUCACUUUUUCUAAGUAUGUCGGAGUGAUUGAGCAGAGAGAAAAAUGAAUACCCUAAGCGAACUAGAAAUCUGGAAAGAACCGAAAUAGAGGCAGUGUCUCAUGACACUUUACUUGAGGACUCACCUGAUGAACUGCUGAUCAACUCUAUAGAUUCCUUCACCUAACCAGAACUGACUUCAUCAGAGAGUUAUGAUGGUUAACUCUAUCAGUCUUCUACCUGAAUGCCCCAAGAUAUUGAUGAAGUCAACAAAAACAUUGAGCCUCAGAACACAAGAAAUCUUGGACAAACUGGGAGACAGCUUGUCAGUAUCUAAGGGAAUGCAUCUGGAAAAGAGACUACCAGCAGAAGAGCAUAAAGGGGCGUGGAAGCCUAAACUGAACGAAGACCAAAGUGUGGACACUUUGCCCCUUCUUAGAAUUUGAAACAAUCACCCAUGGAAGGAGU